AUUAUCUACUAUGAAACUGUUCAGUAGUAGCAGCACAACAUCCUCUAGCAGAUUUUCAGUACAAUAUUCCCUGGCACUUAUAAGCAAUUCUUGAGUAGAUGAACUUAAAUCAAUUGUUUACUGAUUGUUAGACAUAUCACUUUAUUCUCUUGACAAUAAAAGGAGAUAAAACCAACAAGAAGUAUCUUAUUUAUUUCAUCAUAAAUUAUUUUACUCCCCCGAAGAUGAAUAAGAUAUAAAAAAAAAAAAAAAAAAUCUGCAUUGAUCCCUAAAUUGAGACAUUAGGUUGAAGAAAUGUAUGUUGAAGAGCUAUCUAGAAUAGAAAUUUGAUUGAAGAGUAGAGAAGAGCCCAAUAAUGAAUUUAAACAUUAAGUUCUAUCUAGCAUUCAAUUACUAGUGACCUUAAGAUGAGGAGCUUAAACUUUAUAACAUGUAUGUCGCGACCUCUCUCUUUUUUUUCCGGCGUCUGCAAUCGGGUACGAGCGCCUAAGGAGGCUAAUGGCUCGGCUGAAAUUAGUUAUGCCCGGACUCUCCCAAGUCCGCCAAUUCACGACUUAAUGGUUCAAGUUUUUAACUUGUAAUUCAAUUUUUAAAAUGGAGUCGCCACUAAUCGAUUUGGGGUGGGUUGAUUAGAAACCCAAGUGAAAUAUCGGGAGAAAUACUCACUCCUGCGCAACCAGAGAAAUUAGGAUCGGGGACUUGAUUACACUAGUUAAUCACUAAUGCCCUUUCGAUACCUAAUCUUGUUUAAACCUUGAGGCCUUUUGGAUGUUCGGGGGAUUUUCCAUGCAUUUUUGGGAGGAAAAGCAUUUUUUGAGUCUUUUUUCUAAUUUUUUGACAUAAAAUGGGCUUUUUGGAUUUUUGGUAUUUUUUUGGAAAAUAUGAAAUAUUUUUUAUAUAUUUUUUAAAUUAAAAUGCUUUUUAAUAUAUUUCGAAAAGAAAAUAUAUAUUUUGUUUUUUUUUGGAAAAUAAAUUAUUUAUUUAUUAUUAAAAUAUUAUUUUAAAAUAAAAACCGACCCGGGUCGGAUCCACGAGUUGUGUCCGACCCGGGCCGGCGACCCGAAUGAGGACGGGCCCGCGUUGCGGGCCCGACUCGGAUUUUUUUCAUCUUUUUUUUUGCGAAGGGGCCCAAGCCCACAACAAAAUUGGGCCCCUCCGCGAAGAACAAGCCCGCCCGGUUUGCAAACCAGGUCAGUCCUGGCCCAAGCGACUAAAACCCUAGCGGAACCGGGUCAUCUGCCCGACCCGAUUCCACCUAGCUUCGCGACUUCAUCUCCCUCUCCUCUCAACUCGCGGCGCUGAUGGAGGGGCUAGGGUUUCAAGCAGGGAGAAGCGACGGCGACGACCCGACCGACGGUGGUUUCUACUACCUGUUUGCAGCAACGGUGCGACGCAACGGCGAACAGCAGUGGCGAGGCAAGAAGCAGCGGUGGACAGGAGUCGUGGCUGGUCAUCGAGAGGUGGUUAGGACAGCACGGCCCGGGGCGAGAUCUGAUACAGCGGGCGUCGAGGCUCGGCGAGAUCUGGCGCAGCGGCGACGUUGGGGCACGGCUCGGCGCGGCGGUAGGGAGCUUUUGAGGAGACGGCGUCGGGGUUAGGUGGUGGCGUUUGGAGCUGCGUUGUCGACCACUGAACAGCGACGGCGUAACCCUCCUCCUCUAGAUCAGGAUCCUUUAUUCUCAGAUCUGCCUCCUCAUUCCGGUUCUUCUCUCGCUCAGCCUCUACCCGCUCGGAUCUCACCUUCUUCACUUCUCAGCCCGACCCUCUCCCUCAGAUCUGGGCUCACGAGCGCUCGGGCCUCCCCUGAAGUCUCUCGGGGGAAGCUUGCGACGCUUGCUCGCUUUCGAUCGCUCUCUCUCCGGCCGCGAACUCUCAGAUCUCGGUUUGCUCGUCCUCGGCCCCCCUUCUGAAGUCUCUCAGUGGGAGGUUUCGAAGAUCUGCAGCCCUCGAUCCUUCACCGCUUCCGUGUCCUUCUCGCUGAUGGAGGGGCUUCGCUAUUUAUAGGCGAGGGGGGGCGGUCAGCGGAGGUUGGGCCGGCGGUCUUUGGUGUGCCGACCGGCCUUCCUUUGCCGGCUGAACCGGCGUCAGUUCCUUCCCUUCCACGGAGGCUCGCUCGCCAUCAAUGCCGCGUCCACUCAGCUUGCGUCAUCGUCGAUGCCUCUUCCUGCGUCCCGGUAUCGCGCGCGUCUGACCUCCGGCGCGCGUGUUGCAGAGGAAGAAGACAAAGAUGAGGGCAUGAUGAAGAAGACAGAAAAGGAAAAGAGGCUGGGCUGAUUUGCGCGGGCCAGGCCAUGAGGGCUCGCGUGAGAGAAAAUGAGGGGCUAGGCUCGAAGGUCUAGCCCGACGAGCUGCUGCUUCUGUUUUUUUCUUGUUUCUUUUGUUUUGGUUUAUUAUCCGAAAAUUAAAUAAAACAAAGUAAUAAUAAAAUAAAGCCUAAUUUUAGGCGUCAACAGUUGCCCCUCUUUGAAGGUGAGCUCGCAGAGGUUGCAUUCAAAGACAAACUGAUGCCUAAAUUUUGUCCAUAUAUGCGUAGCAAAUUAUAUUUUAUUUGAGAAUUAUUAUCCUAUGUAAAAAGAGUAAUAUAACACUACAUAUAUUAAGACAGAUAA
rnacentral:lncRNA from 1 species